rfam:Asian citrus Psyllid, Diaphorina citri - Florida Strain, whole genome shotgun sequence.
GCCUAGUUAGCUUACUUGGUAGUGCAUCUGCCUCGUAAGCGCUAGGCCGCGGGUUCGAUUCCCGCCCGGGGCG